GCCGGGGAGCUCGGGUGGCCCCCAGUGUACCAGGAAGAGGGCGGGGCUAGAUGCCGCCCUGGCAACCAUUAGAGCGCUCCGAGCUGGGCGGCACGGGGACUACAUUUCCCAGGGGUCCCCGCGCAUCGGGCGCGGCGCUCAAGCCCGGUGCGCAGGCGCAAAUCCCCCUUCUGGGCUUAUAUAAGGGCGGC
rfam:Ochotona princeps cont2.103175, whole genome shotgun sequence.